UACGUAGGUGGCAAGCGUUGUCCGGAUUUACUGGGCGUAAAGAGCGCGCAGGCGGUCGUUCAAGUCGCGUGUGAAAGCCCCCGGCUCAACUGGGGAGGGUCACGCGAUACUGAUCGACUCGAAGGCAGGAGAGGGUAGUGGAAUUCCCGGUGUAGUGGUGAAAUGCGUAGAUAUCGGGAGGAACACCAGUGGCGAAGGCGGCUACCUGGACCGGUUCUGACGCUGAGGCGCGAAAGCGUGGGGAGCGAACGGG
rnacentral:rRNA from 1 species